UUUCCGUAGGUGAACCUGCGGAAGGAUCAUUAAUGAAAUGUUGGGAUGCUCUUUUUAGAGGUCCGACCCAUUACAUUUUCACACACUGUGCACACACUACUUUUUUACAUCAAUUUUAUAACUCUGUAAAGAAUGUCAAAAGUCUCUUGAUUGAGCAUACAAUUUAUAUUAAAACUUUCGGCAACGGAUCUCUUGGCUCUCGCAUCGAUGAAGAACGCAGC
rnacentral:misc_RNA from 1 species